GAUGAACGCUAGCGGGAGGCUUAAUACAUGCAAGUCGAGCGGCAAGGUCUUCGGACCCUAGAGCGGCGCACGGGUGAGUAACGCGUACGCAAUCUGCCCUUCAGUGAGGAAUAGCCCUGGGAAACUGGGAUUAAUACCUCAUAAUAUUAUUUAAUCGCAUGGUUAGAUAAUUAAAGUUCUGGCGCUGAAGGAUGAGCGUGCGUCUGAUUAGCUAGUUGGUAGGGUAACGGCCUACCAAGGCUACGAUCAGUAGGAGGCGUGAGAGCGUGACCCCCCACACGGGUACUGAGACACGGACCCGACUCCUACGGGAGGCAGCAGUAAGGAAUAUUGGGCAAUGGAGGCAACUCUGACCCAGCCAUCCCGCGUGAAGGAUUAAGGCCCUAUGGGUUGUAAACUUCUUUUGUUUGGGAAGAAAUCUGGACAUUUAUGUGCAGUUGACGGUACCUUACGAAUAAGCACCGGCUAACUCCGUGCCAGCAGCCGCAGUAAUAC
rnacentral:rRNA from 1 species